rnacentral:rRNA from 1 species
CUGCUGCCUCCCGUAGGAGUUUGGGCCGUGUCUCAGUCCCAAUGUGGCCGUUCACCCUCUCAGGCCGGCUACUGAUCGUUGCCUUGGUAGGCCAUUACCUCACCAACUAGCUAAUCAGACGCGGAACCAUCGUAUACCACCAGAGUUUUUCACACCGCUUCAUGCGAAGCUGUGCGCUUAUGCGGUAUUAGCACCUAUUUCUAAGUGUUAUCCCCCAGUAUACGGCAGGUUUUCCACGCGUUACUCACCCGUCCG